GACGAACGCUGGCGGCAUGCCUAAUACAUGCCAGUUGAACGAUGAUAUUCUCUGCUUGCAGAGAAUUGAAGAGUAGCGAACGGGUGAGUAACACGUGGGGAACCUGCCCAUGAGAGGGGGAUAACAUUCGGAAACGGAUGCUAAUACCGCAUAAUGCUUUGGACCGCCUGGUCCAGAGACGAAAGACGGCUUUUGCUGUCACUCAUGGAUGGCCCCGCGCCGUAUUAGCUAGUUGGUGAGGUAAUGGCUCACCAAAGCUGUGAUACGUAGCCGACCUGAGAGGGUGUUCGGCCACACUGGUACUGCGACACGGCCCAGCCUCCUAAGGGCGGCAGCAGUAGGGAAUCUUCCACAAUGGGCGAAAGCCUGAUGGAGCAAUGCCGCGUGAAUGCAGAAGGUCUUCGGAUCGUAAAGUUCUGUUAUUAGGGAAGAACAAGUCAAGGAGUAACUGUCUUGACUUUGACGGUACCUACCCAGAAAGUCACGGCUAACUACGUG
rnacentral:rRNA from 1 species